AACACAAUAGACCAUUAAAUCUGGGCAUGGCAUGGCUAAUGUACUCCCGACUCAUGGCACCCAUGGUUACCUGCAAAACACCUGGAGAAGACCUGCCCCAUCAACAUCAGCAUGGCAGAAGAGGACUCAUGAGACUUUAUCUGCUUCUCAGAAUCCGUGGGUAAUUAACGGUUGAUAAAGAAGGAAGAUCCUCAGUAGUACACCUACAAGCAAGAGGCCAUGCUCCUAGAAAGAACCACUCACGCAUCUUCUGAUACCCUUGACAGCAAAAGUAACUUGCCAAAAUGUUUCAAACAAUGGUUGGAAACACAACAAUAGAAAAACCUGUCAAGUGCAAUCCAGGAAUCUAAGACAACCAGUGAAUACCUGAUUACUAUGCUGAUUGUGGGUCAUUGCAGUCAAAGUGAAAGGAUAACUUUGGAAUAUCUAUCAGAAUCCUCUCUUUGUGGAAACAGAAAACUAAAUUCUUCAAAGUUAAUGACAUUACCAGGCUUCUUGUUGCAUUUGGAGACUAAAACAAUGGAAAGCAGAAUCCAGAAGAAAAGUUAUCUUGACAGGGCCAGGAAUGUACACACAGCAUACAAUUCUGUUUCCAUUUUUCAUGGGAGUACUCAGCACAAUGGCUAAGUUCCUUGCAUGAAUCUGAUUUGAAGAUGAAAGAGUUGGACCUAAUGCCUAAAGACCAAACCCC
rnacentral:lncRNA from 1 species